rnacentral:rRNA from 1 species
GAUGAACGCUAGCGGCAGGCUUAAUACAUGCAAGUCGAGGGGUAGCAAGAUUGUAGCAAUACAAUUGUUGACGACCGGCAAACGGGUGCGGAACACGUACACAACCUUCCUACAAGUGGGGAAUAGCCCAGAGUAAUUUGGAUUAACACCCCGUAACAUAGCGAUGUGGCAUCACAUUGCUAUUAUAGCUUCGGCGCUUGUUGAUGGGUGUGCGGCUGAUUAGAUAGUUGGCGGGGUAACGGCCCACCAAGUCUACGAUCAGUAGCUGAUGUGAGAGCAUGAUCAGCCACACGGGCACUGAGACACGGGCCCGACUCCUACGGGAGGCAGCAGUAAGGAAUAUUGGACAAUGGACGCAAGUCUGAUCCAGCCAUGCCGCGUGAAGGAUUAAGGUCCUCUGGAUUGUAAACUUCUUUUAUAAGGGACGAAAAAAGGUCUUUCUAGAUCGUCUGACGGUACCUUAUGAAUAAGCACCGGCUAACUCCGUGCCAGCCGCCGCCGUAACAC